AGAGUUUGAUCAUGGCUCAGGAUGAACGCUAGCUACAGGCUUAACACAUGCAAGUCGAGGGGAAACGACAUCGAAAGCUUGCUUUUGAUGGGCGUCGGCCGGCGCACGGGUGAGUAACGCGUAUCCAACCUGCCCACCACUUGGGGAUAACCUUGCGAAAGUAAGACUAAUACCCAAUGACGUCUCUAGAAGACAUCUGAAAGAGAUUAAAGAUUUAUCGGUGAUGGAUGGGGAUGCGUCUGAUUAGCUUGUUGGCGGGUAACGGCCGCAAGGCUACGAUCAGUAGGGGUUCUGAGAGGAAGGUCCCCCACAUUGGAACUGAGACACGGUCCAAACUCCGUACGGGAGCA
rnacentral:rRNA from 1 species